AUUGGAUUCGACGGGUAACAAUAGUAGAAGAGGCAGGUAAGUUGCUGACUCUUUAAAGUUAGAAAACUAAAAAUGCCGACCAUAAAUCGACAUCCUUUAUCAGUGAAGACGGUUCUUUAGUCUUUGCUGAUAAAGAACUUGUAAUGGUUUAAGACCUUAUAAGUUUACGGUUCUGAUGGGUAGCAAUACUCCCGUAAGAGAAGAAAGUCAGAUGGUGGAGGAUGCGGAACUCAGAAAAUAAUCAGCUGGGUGUAGUAAAAAGAGAGAUUGCAUCUAUUAUGUGGUUGUUUAAUUUAGCAUAAUAGAUAAAGAGAUUAAAUUAAACUAAACUUGUAGUCUUUUUUAUGACUUGUUGCUCGGACCCGA
rnacentral:tmRNA from 1 species